rnacentral:rRNA from 1 species
UUUGGUGGUAUACGAUGGAUCCGCGUCUGAUUAGCUGGUUGGCGGGGUAAAGGCCCACCAAGGCGACGAUCAGUAGCCGGCCUGAGAGGGUGAACGGCCACAUUGGGACCGAGACACGGCCCAAACUCCUACGGGAGGCAGCAGUGGGGAAUAUUGCACAAUGGGGGAAACCCUGAUGCAGCGACGCCGCGUGAGUGAAGAAGUAUUUCGGUAUGUAAAGCUCUAUCAGCAGGGAAGAAAAUGACGGUACCUGACUAAGAAGCCCCGGCUAACUACGUGCCAGCAGCCGCGGUAAUACGUAGGGGGCAAGCGUUAUCCGGAUUUACUGGGUGUAAAGGGAGCGUAGACGGCAGCGCAAGUCUGGAGUGAAAUCCCAUGGCUUAACCAUGGAACUGCUUUGGAAACUGUGCAGCUGGAGUGCAGGAGAGGUAAGCGGAAUUCCUAGUGUAGCGGUGAAAUGCGUAGAUAUUAGGAGGAACACCAGUGGCGAAGGCGGCUUACUGGACUGUAACUGACGUUGAGGCUCGAAAGCGUGGGGAGCAAACAGGAUUAGAUACCCUGGUAGUCCACGCUGUAAAC